rnacentral:rRNA from 1 species
ACGAACGCUGGCGGCAGGCUUAACACAUGCAAGUCGAACGAGUAAGUGCUGUAGCAAUACAGAUUACUGCUAGUGGCGCACGGGUGAGUAACACGUGGGAAUGUACCCUUUAGUUCGGAAUAACAGCGGGAAACUGCUGCUAAUACCGGAUACGCUCUUCGGAGGAAAGAUUUAUCGCUAAAGGAUCAGCCCGCGUCAGAUUAGGUAGUUGGUGGGGUAAUGGCCUACCAAGCCUACGAUCUGUAGCUGGUCUGAGAGGAUGAUCAGCCACACUGGAACUGAGACACGGUCCAGACUCCUACGGGAGGCAGCAGUGGGGAAUAUUGGACAAUGGGCGAAAGCCUGAUCCAGCCAUGCCGCGUGAGUGAUGAAGGCCUUAGGGUUGUAAAGCUCUUUUACUAGGGAAGAUAAUGACGGUACCUAGAGAAUAAGCACCGGCUAACUUCGU